rnacentral:lncRNA from 1 species
GCGCUCGUUAUGCCGCUGAGUGGUGGUUCCCUUAAACGCGCCAGCAACAACCCUUAUGUUGUUGAGCAACCACGCCAUUGAGGGAGGGAGUACCAACUCGGCCUUAUCCGGAAGACGCUUUCUUGCAGGUUCUUUUUUCUGCUUUGGAGCGCACGUCGUCGACUGUUACCAUCACAUUCUCUUCCGCGAUCGUCUUUUCAACUGCCCGCUCAUCUCUGUGCAAAUGUAUACAUCCCAUUCGCGCGUGGGAACAGGGUCCGAGCCGCAUCUUCAAGUGGCGCUCUCGCGGAUAUGCGUCAUGCACCAUGACUGUUUACGUUCCAGAAAAUGCUGUUACCGUACUUUUUUUGAAUGGGCCAGCGGUAUGCGGAACAACGCAUCGCAACCUACAGCCG